UAAGACGAACCGUGCGAACGUUGUUCGGAAUCACUGGGCUUAAAGGGCGCGUAGGCGGGUCGGUAAGUCCGGGGUGAAAGCCCCCAGCUCAACUGGGGAAGUGCCUUGGAUACUGCCGGUCUAGAGCGAGGUAGGGGCACGUGGAACUUCGGGUGGAGCGGUGAAAUGCGUUGAUAUCCGAAGGAACGCCGGUGGCGAAAGCGACGUGCUGGAUCUCUUCUGACGCUGAGGCGCGAAAGCCAGGGGAGCAAACGGGAUUAGAUACCCCGGUAGUCCUGGCCCUAAACGAUGGGUACUAGAUUGCGGACUUAACAUGGGUUCGCAGUCGAAGCAAAAGUGGUAAGUACCCCGCCUGGGGAGUAUGGUCGCAAGGCUG
rnacentral:rRNA from 1 species